CUUGAGACCGGCGCACGGGUGCGUAACGCGUAUACAAUCUACCUUUUACAGAGGGAUAGCCCAGAGAAAUUUGGAUUAAUACCUCAUAGUAUUUUCGAAUGGCAUCAUUUGAUUAUUAAAGUUCCAACGGUAAAAGAUGAGUAUGCGUCCCAUUAGCUAGAUGGUAAGGUAACGGCUUACCAUGGCAACGAUGGGUAGGGGUCCUGAGAGGGAGAUCCCCCACACUGGUACUGAGACACGGACCAGACUCCUACGGGAGGCAGCAGUGAGGAAUAUUGGACAAUGGGCGCAAGCCUGAUCCAGCCAUGCCGCGUGCAGGAAGACGGUCCUAUGGAUUGUAAACUGCUUUUAUACAGGAAGAAACACACCCUCGUGAGGGUACUUGACGGUACUGUAUGAAUAAGCAUCGGCUAACUCCGUGCCAGCAGCCGCGGUAAU
rnacentral:rRNA from 1 species